rnacentral:rRNA from 1 species
AUACGUAGGUGGCAAGCGUUGUCCGGAUUUACUGGGCGUAAAGGAUGCGUAGGCGGAUAUUUAAGUGAGAUGUGAAAUCCCUAAGCUUAACUUGGGAGCUGCAUUUCAAACUGGAUGUCUAGAGUGCAGGUGAGGAGAAUGGAAUUCCUAGUGUAGCGGUGAAAUGCGUAGAGAUUAGGAAGAACACCAGUGGCGAAGGCGAUUCUCUGGACUGUAACUGACGCUGAGGCAUGAAAGCGUGGGUAGCAAACAGGAUUAGAUACCCUGGUAGUCCACGCCGUAAACGAUGAGUACUAGGUGUAGGAGGGUCCAACCUUCUGUGCCGCAGUUAACACAAUAAGUACUCCGCCUGGGAAGUACGAUCGCAAGAUUAAA